AAAGACCCAAUUUCUAGGUUUCCGUGUGCAACGUUUGACCGUCUGUCUUAUAGAAAUUAUUUUAUGAUUAAUAUUUGCAUUAUUGUUAGAUGAUAAAACAUGAAUAAUACUUUAUGCAUGACUUAUCUUUUAAAUAUUUUCAUAAUUUUUUAAAUAAGACGGACGGUCAAAUGUUAGACACGAAAAUCUAGAAAUUAAG
rfam:Oryza glaberrima chromosome 1 Oglab01_0018_3, whole genome shotgun sequence.